CUAAUUCCUGGGAAGCGCAUCUUUUGAGUUUCUCGCUGCUUCCCCUUUGUUGCUGGUGCUCGUGCUCCCCUUUGUUCUUGCUGCUCCCGCGGACUACUCUUCUUCUGCACCGUUUUUCUUCAAAUCGGCGUCGAAUUCAUCGACCGUCUCGCACUUAUGGCUGAGGUUAGUGAUGAAUUCGGCGAGUACUUUGUCGCCGACUCCGACUAUGAGUUUCAAGUUCGGAGCAUACCUUUGAAACGAGGGAGAGAUAUUCCAAUUUCUUCAGUCCGUCGCCUUUGCUUUCCUCAACUGCCGCCAUUGUUGCUGCUGCUUCAAUAAUCGAUUUUCAUCGACGGUCUCGCACUUUGUUGGUGGGAUUUCGAAAGUGAAAAUUGAAUACCCGUGUCAAUUUUUAAGGAAGUGAUAUUGGUGCUGAUAAAACACAUUCUUCAAUCUCUCCCUAAAUAUUAUUCAGAAUAUCAACUUGUAUGAGGAGCUUGCUGCUUCUAGAGGAUAUGAGCAAUAACUACAGGAAAAGCUCUUAAAGGAGACCAAGGAAUCCUGAUUAGGAGCUAUUAAAGUAGCAAUUAAAUACAAUAAUGCAACGAGCUCGGGCUCUUGUGGCUCUGUCAUAUUUGAACCUUAGCAGAUGUGGCCUGUUUGAUCAUGUUUUUGAUAAGCUCUCUGGACUUAAGAAUUUGAAGGUGUUCAAUCUGGCCUUCAACAACAUAACAGAUACAUAUAUGUUUGGUUCAUCUCAAAGGGUAAGGCGGUAGUAUUUUUGACGGGUCUGUCACCGGGUCUAAUGUGGAGUAGCAGGAAGGGAAGCUGAUUGUCCAGAAAUAGAGGUUUUGGGAAUUGGCCUGAUGGCGUUUUCUCUACGGAACACCCUAGGUACCGUGAAUAAUAAUCAAAUUGUGAAACGUGGAUACUAGUUAUGGGAGGAAAGAUAGGAAAAGAGAGCAUGGAACAAACAUGAGUUUUUGUCUUGUGGUUCGCAGCGAGGAAAUGAACGCUUUAAAUCUAAAGGUUUUCAAAACUCCAAAGGAAGGACCCUUUACCAAAGAGGAGUUGGAUGAAGUUCGAGACAAGUGGGCUACUUACUUCAACGAUUGUGAACUACCCUCAGUGUAAUAAAUAGAGCAGGCUUGUAGUUAUCCGUGACUCUUACAUUAUUUUGUUAUUUAUCGAUUUAUUUAAUUACAUUUGAAUUAAUUCGGUAAUAUUAUUGGAAACUUGAAAUUUAUAUCA